AGAGGGGUUAAUGAGGAUGUCGUAAUGGUGUGGCGUUGGUGAGGCUAUAAAAGCGACGCAACGCCGAGAGAGAAACGUGAGGCGUCCGUGAAGCCCGUGUGCUACUCACCAAUGGUGCCGCCGCCGACGAUGAUGACACGGAAGGGGCCAUGGACGGAGCAGGAGGACCUCCAACUGGUAUGGUUCGUCCGCCUGCUCGGUGAACGUCGUUGGGAUUUCUUAGCCAAGGUGUCAGGUCUUAACAGGUCGGGCAAGAGUUGCAGGCUACGAUGGGUUAACUAUCUUCAUCCCGGCCUCAAGCGCGGCCGCAUGACGCCCCAGGAAGAAGACCUUGUGGUCGAACUCCAUGCUAAAUGGGGCAACAGGUUUGAUCGUAGGUGGUCUCGCAUUGCUCGGCGGCUGCCAGGGCGCACCGACAACGAGAUCAAGAACUACUGGAGGACACACAUGAGGAAGAAGGCACAGGAGCGGAGGACGUGCUCGUCGCCCUCGCCAUCUUCAUCAUCUUCGAGUAACGGACCUCCAUCGGAACUUAGAGUGGAAAAGCAUGACGGCGACAGCGUUGCAGAGGGCAGCGCUUUCACCUCGGGGCUCGAAUUGACCGAUGAUGAAGUCAAGGGGUACACGAUGGACCAGAUCUGGAACGAGAUCGCCGCAUCGGAAUCGUGCAACAUGGAGUGCCCUCCGACGAGUUCUUCCAUAUGGGAAGACAAGUCCGAAUCACUCUGGAGAUUAGAUGAAGACCUGAGGAUUUCGAACCCACCCCGUGUCUGAUCUCUUGUUAUAACUGCGAGAUGCCUUAUGGGCGAGACCUGUAAAUUUAAACGGAGAACCCACACCCCUCAGUAGUAAUAGCUGAUGCUGCUAAAGCUUAACAUCCUCUGAUCUGGACUUUGUUGAUAAGCUCAGAGCCUGAAAAAAGCUUUCAUGAAAAGCUCCACAUUGAGUCCAAGAAUCGUUCUGUAUAAAAUGCAAAGUGCUUCGACCAAA